rnacentral:rRNA from 1 species
GAUGAACGCUGGCGGCGUGCCUAAUACAUGCAAGUCGAGCGAACAGACAAGGAGCUUGCUCCUUUGACGUUAGCGGCAGACGGGUGAGUAACACGUGGGUAACCUACCUAUAAGACUGGGAUAACUUCGGGAAACCGGAGCUAAUACCGGAUAAUAUUUCGAACCGCAUGGUUCGAUAGUGAAAGAUGGUUUUGCUAUCACUUAUAGAUGGACCCGCGCCGUAUUAGCUAGUUGGUAAGGUAACGGCUUACCAAGGCGACGAUACGUAGCCGACCUGAGAGGGUGAUCGGCCACACUGGAACUGAGACACGGUCCAGACUCCUACGGGAGGCAGCAGUAGGGAAUCUUCCGCAAUGGGCGAAAGCCUGACGGAGCAACGCCGCGUGAGUGAUGAAGGUCUUCGGAUCGUAAAACUCUGUUAUUAGGGAAGAACAUACGUGUAAGUAACUAUGCACGUCUUGACGGUACCUAAUCAGAAAGCCACGGCUAACUACGUGCCAGCAGCCGCGGUAAUACGUAGGUGGCAAGCGUUAUCCGGAAUUAUUGGGCGUAAAGCGCGCGUAGGCGGUUUUUUAAGUCUGAUGUGAAAGCCCACGGCUCAACCGUGGAGGGUCAUUGGAAACUGUAAAACUUGAGUGCAGAAGAGGAAAGUGGAAUUCCAUGUGUAGCGGUGAAAUGCGCAGAGAUAUGGAGGGACACCAGUGGCGAAGGCGACUUUCUGGUCUGUAACUGACGCUGAUGUGCGAAAGCGUGGGGAUCAAACAGGAUUAGAUACCCUGGUAGUCCACGCCGUAAACGAUGAGUGCUAAGUGUUAGGGGGUUUCCGCCCCUUAGUGCUGCAGCUAACGCAUUAAGCACUCCGCCUGGGGAGUACGACCGCAAGGUUGAAACUCAAAGGAAUUGACGGGGACCCGCACAAGCGGUGGAGCAUGUGGUUUAAUUCGAAGCAACGCGAAGAACCUUACCAAAUCUUGACAUCCUUUGACAACUCUAGAGAUAGAGCCUUCCCCUUCGGGGGACAAAGUGACAGGUGGUGCAUGGUUGUCGUCAGCUCGUGUCGUGAGAUGUUGGGUUAAGUCCCGCAACGAGCGCAACCCUUAAGCUUAGUUGCCAUCAUUAAGUUGGGCACUCUAAGUUGACUGCCGGUGACAAACCGGAGGAAGGUGGGGAUGACGUCAAAUCAUCAUGCCCCUUAUGAUUUGGGCUACACACGUGCUACAAUGGACAAUACAAAGGGCAGCGAAACCGCGAGGUCAAGCAAAUCCCAUAAAGUUGUUCUCAGUUCGGAUUGUAGUCUGCAACUCGACUACAUGAAGCUGGAAUCGCUAGUAAUCGUAGAUCAGCAUGCUACGGUGAAUACGUUCCCGGGUCU